AAGCACCGGCUAACUCCGUGCCAGCAGCCGCGGUAAUACGGAGGGUGCGAGCGUUAAUCGGAAUUACUGGGCGUAAAGCGCAUGCAGGUGGUUUGUUAAGUCAGAUGUGAAAGCCCGGGGCUCAACCUCGGAAUAGCAUUUGAAACUGGCAGACUAGAGUACUGUAGAGGGGGGUAGAAUUUCAGGUGUAGCGGUGAAAUGCGUAGAGAUCUGAAGGAAUACCGGUGGCGAAGGCGGCCCCCUGGACAGAUACUGACACUCAGAUGCGAAAGCGUGGGGAGCAAACAGGAUUAGAUACCCUGGUAGUCCACGCCGUAAACGAUGUCUACUUGGAGGUUGUGGCCUUGAGCCGUGGCUUUCGGAGCUAACGCGUUAAGUAGACCGCCUGGGGAGUACGGUCGCAAGAUUAAAACUCAAAUGAAUUGACGGGGGCCCGCACAAGCGGUGGAGCAUGUGGUUUAAUUCGAUGCAACGCGAAGAACCUUACCUACUCUUGACAUCCAGAGAACUUUCCAGAGAUGGAUUGGUGCCUUCGGGAACUCUGAGACAGGUGCUGCAUGGCUGUCGUCAGCUCGUGUUGUGAAAUGUUGGGUUAAGUCCCGCAACGAGCGCAACCCUUAUCCUUGUUUGCCAGCGAGUAAUGUCGGGAACUCCAGGGAGACUGCCGGUGAUAAACCGGAGGAAGGUGGGGACGACGUCAAGUCAUCAUGGCCCUUACGAGUAGGGCUACACACGUGCUACAAUGGCGCAUACAGAGGGCGGCCAACUUGCGAAAGUGAGCGAAUCCCAAAAAGUGCGUCGUAGUCCGGAUUGGAGUCUGCAACUCGACUCCAUGAAGUCGGAAUCGCUAGUAAUCGUGGAUCAGAAUGCCACGGUGAAUACGUUCCCGGGCCUUGUACACACCGCCCGUCACACCAUGGGAGUGGGCUGCAAAAGAAGUAGGUAGUUUAACCUUCGGGGGGACGCUUACCACUUUGUGGUUCAUGACUGGGGUGAAGUCGUAACAAGGUAGCGCUAGGGGAACC
rnacentral:rRNA from 1 species